GAUGAACGCUGGCGGCGUGCCUAAUACAUGCAAGUCGAGCGGACCACUGGGAGCUUGCUCCCGGUGGUUAGCGGCGGACGGGUGAGUAACACGUGGGCAACCUGCCUGUAAGACUGGGAUAACACCGGGAAACCGGUGCUAAUACCGGAUAAUCCUUUUCCUCUCAUGAGGAAAAGCUGAAAGUCGGUUUCGGCUGACACUUACAGAUGGGCCCGCGGCGCAUUAGCGAGUUGGCGAGGUAACGGCUCACCAAGGGGAAGAUGCGUAGCCGACCGGAGAGGGUGAUCGGCCACACUGGGACUGAGACACGGCCCAGACUCCUACGGGAGGCAGCAGUAGGGAAUCUUCCACAAUGGACGAAAGUCUGAUGGAGCAACGCAGCGUGAGCGAUGAAGGCCUUCGGGUCGUAAAGCUCUGUUGUUAGGGAAGAACAAGUACCGGAGUAACUGCCGGUACCUUGACGGUACCUAACCAGAAAGCCACGGCUAACUACGUGCCAGCAGCCGCCGUAA
rnacentral:rRNA from 1 species